rnacentral:rRNA from 1 species
UACGUAGGGUCCGAGCGUUGUCCGGAAUUACUGGGCGUAAAGAGCUCGUAGGCGGUUUGUCGCGUUGUUCGUGAAAACUCACAGCUUAACUGUGGGCGUGCGGGCGAUACGGGCAGACUGGAGUACUGCAGGGGAGACUGGAAUUCCUGGUGUAGCGGUGGAAUGCGCAGAUAUCAGGAGGAACACCGGUGGCGAAGGCGGGUCUCUGGGCCGAUACUGACGCUGAGGAGCGAAAGCGUGGGGAGCGAACAGG